ensembl:lncRNA novel transcript
AACACCCCUCCCCUCCCCUUAGUGAGGAAGGAUUUGGGCCGCAGACCUGGGUGGUCUCAGGACUCCAGCGGCCUGUUGGGGUGAAGUGGGGUGGGGUCGGGGCGCGGCACAGCUUCCCAAGGAAGUCACAGGACCUCGCCUCGGGAUAUUCAGAAGUGCUAGUCCAGUUCUGGCAGCCUGAACUCUUCCUCCUCCAAGGGGUGCUGUACUCGGCGUGUGGGUUUUGAAGCAGUGGGCGUUCGACUUCAGAGUUGUUUUCCUUGAGGCGCUGAUACCGGCCUUGGCGGAGGAGAAUGACGGUAUUCAUGUGUUUCUGGGUGGUUGCCUGAACAAGGGAGUUCAGCCUUUGGGAGAUAAAGCAGGAUAUGAAGCCUGACCAGGUGGGAGGUCCUGAUGCCCUUCCCAGGACUGGGCACUGCGGUGGCCCCAGCACAGGGCAGGGCCCACCUGAAGCAGUGUGACCUGCUGAAGUUGUCCCGGCAGCAGAAGCAGCUCUGCGGGAGGGAGCCCAGCCUGGCUGA